CCAAUAGCGUAUAUUAAAGUUGUUGCAGUUAAAAAGCUCGUAGUUGAAUUUCGGGAUUAGUACGUUGGUCGUGCCUUCGGUACGUACUGGUGUUACUGAUUCCUACCUUCUGAAGAACCAUCAUGUCAUUAAUUUGGUGUGGCGGGGAAUCAGGACUGUUACUUUGAAAAAAUUAGAGUGUUUAAAGCAGGCUCGCGCUUGAAUACAUUAGCAUGGAAUAAUGAAAUAGGACGUUGACCCUAUUUUGUUGGUUUCUAGGAUUGACGUAAUGAUUAAUAGGGAUAGUUGGGGACAUUAGUAUUCAAUUGUCAGAGGUGAAAUUCUUGGAUUUAUUGAAGACUAACUACUGCGAAAGCAUUUGCCAAGGAUGUUUUCAUUAAUCAAGAACGAAAGUUAGGGGAUCGAAGACGAUCAGAUACCGUCGUAGUCUUAACCAUAAACUAUGCCGACUAGGGAUCGGAUGAUGUUAUUUUUAAUGACUCAUUCGGCGCCUUACG
rnacentral:rRNA from 1 species